rnacentral:lncRNA from 1 species
CGGCAGCCUCUGCUGCGGCAACGGUGGGCGCAAAGCCUUCCUUCUCUUCCCACGCCACUCACGCCCUCCUCAUCUCUCGCCUCCGCCACGGGCUUUCCUUCCCCAAGCACAUCUCUUCCUCUUGCCCAACCCUCGCUUCUCGCUCCGCCCCCAAACACCUCCCCCUCCGCCGCCCACCCCGCGCGACGGCCGCCCCCGCCGAGACCGCUCCCGCCACCUUCCACGGCCCCUGCUACGUCCUCGGCGACAACAUCGACACCGACCAGAUCAUCCCCGCGGAGUACCUCACCCUCGUCCCUUCCAAGCCUGACGAGUACGAGAAGCUCGGCUCCUACGCCCUCGUCGGCCUCCCCUCCGCCGCCUACACCACCCCCUUCGUUGGCCCCGGCGCCACGCGCACGCGCUUUCCCGUCAUCAUUGCCGGCGCCAACUUCGGAUGCGGCUCCUCCCGCGAGCACGCCCCCGUCGCCCUGGGCGCUGCCGGCGCCAGGGCCGUCGUCGCGGAGUCCUACGCCAGGAUCUUCUUCCGGAACUCGGUGGCCACCGGCGAGGUCUACCCGGUGGAGUCCGAAGGGGUUGGGUUGUGGAAGGAGUGCACCACGGGGGACAUCGUGACGGUUGAGCUCGGGGAGAAUCUGCUGGUGAAUCACACGACCGGGAAGG